UGGAGCAUGUGGUUUAAUUCGAAGCAACGCGAAGAACCUACCAGCCUUGACAUGCAGAGAACUUCCAGAGAUGGAUUGGUGCCUUCGGGAACUCUGACACAGGUGCUGCAUGGCUGUCGUCAGCUCGUGUCGGUGAGAUGUUGGGUUAAGUCCCGUAACGAGCGCAACCCUUGUCCUUAGUUACCAGCACGUUAUGGUGGGCACUCUAAGGAGACUGCCGGUGACAAACCGGAGGAAGGUGGGGAUGACGUCAAGUCAUCAUGGCCCUUACGGCCUGGGCUACACACGUGCUACAAUGGUCGGUACAAAGGGUUGCCAAGCCGCGAGGUGGAGCUAAUCCCAUAAAACCGAUCGUAGUCCGGAUCGCAGUCUGCAACUCGACUGCGUGAAGUCGGAAUCGCUAGUAAUCGUGAAUCAGAAUGUCACGGUGAAUACGUUCCCGGGCCUU
rnacentral:rRNA from 1 species